UACGUAGGGCGCAAGCGUUGUCCGGAAUUAUUGGGCGUAAAGAGCUCGUAGGCGGCUUGUUACGUCGGUUGUGAAAGCCCGGGGCUCAACCCCGGGUCUGCAGUCGAUACGGGCAGGCUGGAGUGUGGUAGGGGAGAUCGGAAUUCCUGGUGUAGCGGUGAAAUGCGCAGAUAUCAGGAGGAACACCGGUGGCGAAGGCGGAUCUCUGGGCCAUUACUGACGCUGGAGGAGCGAAAGCCAGGGGAGCAAACGGGG
rnacentral:rRNA from 1 species